CAGUAGCCGCGGUAAUACGGAGGGUGCAAGCGUUAAUCGGAAUUACUGGGCGUAAAGCGCACGCAGGCGGUCUGACAAGUCAGAUGUGAAAUCCCCGGGCUUAACCUGGGAACUGCAUUUGAAACUGUCAGGCUGGAGUCUUGUAGAGGGGGGUAGAAUUCCAGGUGUAGCGGUGAAAUGCGUAGAGAUCUGGAGGAAUACCGGUGGCGAAGGCGGCCCCCUGGACAAAGACUGACGCUCAGGUGCGAAAGCGUGGGGAGCAAACAGGAUUAGAGACCCGGGUAGUCCCUGUCUCUUAUAC
rnacentral:rRNA from 1 species